rnacentral:rRNA from 1 species
UACGAAGGGGGCUAGCGUUGCUCGGAAUCACUGGGCGUAAAGGGCGCGUAGGCGGCCGGCCAAGUCGGGGGUGAAAGCCUGUGGCUCAACCACAGAAUGGCCCUCGAUACUGGCUGGCUCGAGACCGGAAGAGGUUGGUGGAAUUGCGAGUGUAGAGGUGAAAUUCGUAGAUAUUCGGAAGAACACCAGUGGCGAAGGCGACUUACUGGACACAUAUUGACGCUGAGGUGCGAAAGCGUGGGGAGCAAACAGG